rnacentral:rRNA from 1 species
UACGGAGGAUCCGAGCGUUGUCCGGAUUUAUUGGGUUUAAAGGGUGCGUAGGCGGUUUUAUAAGUCAGUGGUUAAAGACUCUCGCUCAACGAGAGGGAUGCCAUUGAUACUGUAAGACUUGAGUACUGUAGAGGUAGGCGGAAUUGGUAGUGUAGCGGUGAAAUGCAUAGAUACUACCAGGAACACCGAUUGCGAAGGCAGCUUACUGGAGAGUAACUGACGCUGAGGCACGAAAGCGUGGGGAUCAAACAGGAUUAGAAACCCUGGUAGUCC